AUCAUGAGAUUAGUUCUUAGGCUUGCCCUAUUAAAUAGCCACUUGUUGAGAGAAAGUUGGAGAAAAAGACUUAGCUUUUGAUGUUCAUUUGAGCAUCUGUGAUUGAUUGAUUAUUGAAAAUCAAUGACGAACAUAGGUAUGCAUCCUAAAUCUUAGAAUAAUUUGAUGUUUUAAACUUUUAUAGGAUUUAUGAAUCUCUUACAUGUGGAGAUCUAUUCUUGAAUUAUGAUUUUGUAUUCUACUCUUCUACAUG
rnacentral:lncRNA from 1 species